GAGGAUAUAGCUCAGUGGCAGAGCACAUGCUUAGCGAACACAAGGUCCUGGGUUCAAUCCCCAGUACCUCCA
rnacentral:tRNA from 1 species